rnacentral:rRNA from 1 species
UAAGUCUCCUGAAGGAACGUCGAAGACGACGACGUUGAUAGGUCGGGUGUGUAAGCGUAGCGAUACGUUGAGCUAACCGAUACUAAUGAACCGUGAGGCUUAACCUU